UACGUAGGUGGCAAGCGUUGUCCGGAAUUAUUGGGCGUAAAGCGCGCGCAGGCGGUCUUCUAAGUCUGAUGUGAAAGCCCACGGCUCAACCGUGGAAGGUCAUUGGAAACUGAGAGACUUGAGUACAGAAGAGGAAAGCGGAAUUCCACGUGUAGCGGUGAAAUGCGUAGAGAUGUGGAGGAACACCAGUGGCGAAGGCGGCUUUCUGGUCUGUAACUGACGCUGAGGCGCGAAAGCGUGGGGAGCAAACAGG
rnacentral:rRNA from 1 species